rnacentral:rRNA from 1 species
CACGUAGGGUGCGAGCGUUGUCCGGAAUUAUUGGGCGUAAAGGGCGCGUAGGCGGCUUGGCAAGUGGAUGGUGAAAUCCCUCGGCUUAACCGAGGAACGGCCGUCCAAACUGCUUCGCUUGAGACCGGGAGAGGUGAGUGGAAUUCCCCAGUGUAGCGGUGAAAUGCGUAGAUAUUGGGAGGAACACCAGUGGCGAAGGCGGUUCUCUGGGCCUUACCUGACGCUGAGGAGCGAAAGCGUGGGGGAGCGAACAGG